CCUUCAAGGAAAAUGGAACCUAUCAUUGAAAUACGAACCUGAAGAUAGUCUGAAUACACAUGAUGUUUCAGCCACUCUUAUAUCCUGGAGGCUUCAUUUUUAUGGAAUCACAAAAGACAAUGCGAAGACUCCUGACACCCAGAAGAUCAAUGAUAAUUCUUCAACAACCGCUGUUGCCAUAGCUGUAACAGUUAUUGUCAUAAUUGCAGUUCUGGUUUCUGGUUUGUUAUUGUAUAAAUAUUGGCCCAAAUUGAAACAAAGUAACAUAUUAAAAUUACUACGGAUGCCAAAAGAGAUAUCCGAUACCGAUCCAAGCAGAUUUGAAAGGUUCUAAAACAUGAAAACAUUCUGUCCAUAGUCUGAUGUCCAAUUUUCAAUGAUGCUGUAUGAUAAACUAAAUGUAUUCAAUACCCAUAUCUUAUAUUGUCAGCAUUGGACCUUUAGCUUCUGUUUCCAUAUACAACGUCGAUCAUUGUAACAAUACGAGUUGUACCUGCCGGAAAUUCUUACUGUUCAAUGACUACUCAAAAUAUUUUUUUUUUCUUAUUUUCAGACGGAGUUGAAUAAUUACUUUAAAUAAUUUGUUGAAAUGUCUUGUAUGUAGUUUUACUAUUAAAUAUAUCUUAUUUUUUGGAUAAGAAAAAUAUUUAUUU